rnacentral:tRNA from 1 species
GAGGGUAUAGCUUAGUGGUAGAGCGUGUGCUUAGCAUGCACGAGGUCCUGGGUUCAAUCCCCAGUACCUCCA